UAUUGGGCGUAAGCGAGCGCAGACGGUUUAUUAAGUCUGAUGUGAAAGCCCGGAGCUCAACUCCGGAAUGGCAUUGGAAACUGGUUAACUUGAGUGCAGUAGAGGUAAGUGGAACUCCAUGUGUAGCGGUGGAAUGCGUAGAUAUAUGGAAGAACACCAGUGGCGAAGGCGGCUUACUGGACUGCAACUGACGUUGAGGCUCGAAAGUGUGGGUAGCAAACAGGAUUAGAUACCCUGGUAGUCCACACCGUAAACGAUGAACACUAGGUGUUAGGAGGUUUCCGCCUCUUAGUGCCGAAGCUAACGCAUUAAGUGUUCCGCCUGGGGAGUACGACCGCAAGGUUGAAACUCAAAGGAAUUGACGGGGACCCGCACAAGCGGUGGAGCAUGUGGUUUAAUUCGAAGCAACGCGAAGAACCUUACCAGGUCUUGACAUCCUUUGAAGCUUUUAGAGAUAGAAGUGUUCUCUUCGGAGACAAAGUGACAGGUGGUGCAUGGUCGUCGUCAGCUCGUGUCGUGAGAUGUUGGGUUAAGUCCCGCAACGAGCGCAACCCUUAUUGUUAGUUGCCAGCAUUCAGAUGGGCACUCUAGCGAGACUGCCGGUGACAAACCGGAGGAAGGCGGGGACGACGUCAGAUCAUCAUGCCCCUUAUGACCUGGGCUACACACGUGCUACAAUGGCGUAUACAACGAGUUGCCAACCCGCGAGGGUGAGCUAAUCUCUUAAAGUACGUCUCAGUUCGGAUUGUAGUCUGCAACUCGACUACAUGAAGUCGGAAUCGCUAGUAAUCGCGGAUCAGCACGCCGCGGUGAAUACGUUCCCGGGUCUUGUACACACCGCCCGUCACACCAUGGGAGUUUGUAAUGCCCAAAGCCGGUGGCCUAACCUUUUAGAAGGAGCCGUCUAAGCAGGACAGAUGACUGGGGU
rnacentral:rRNA from 1 species